CGGUUGAAGUGGAAAACCGGCUUAAAGUGCACUGAAAACGUGUUGAAAUUAACGAAUUUAGUUACAGGGACCUUAACUUCGAAGGUCAUUAAUAUUUAUGAAACAAAAAACCCUUCGACUUUGCCUUCCAUGUCGUCCAUAUUAAUAUACUUUCAAAGCCUAAUUCAAAGCGAGGUUAGCGACUCGCAACUCGCAACUUGCAACUCGCAACUCGCAGCUCGCAACUCGCAGCUCGCAAAAUAGCCGACCCC